rnacentral:rRNA from 1 species
AUUGAACGCUGGCGGAAUGCUUUACACAUGCAAGUCGAACGGCAGCACGGGGGCAACCCUGGUGGCGAGUGGCGAACGGGUGAGUAAUACAUCGGAACGUGCCCAGUCGUGGGGGAUAACGUAGCGAAAGCUACGCUAAUACCGCAUACGAUCUACGGAUGAAAGCGGGGGAUCGCAAGACCUCGCGCGAUUGGAGCGGCCGAUGGCAGAUUAGGUAGUUGGUGGGGUAAAGGCUCACCAAGCCUUCGAUCUGUAGCUGGUCUGAGAGGACGACCAGCCACACUGGGACUGAGACACGGCCCAGACUCCUACGGGAGGCAGCAGUGGGGAAUUUUGGACAAUGGGCGAAAGCCUGAUCCAGCCAUUCCGCGUGCAGGAUGAAGGCCCUCGGGUUGUAAACUGCUUUUGUACGGAACGAAACGGCCUUUUCUAAUACAGAGGGCUAAUGACGGUACCGUAAGAAUAAGCACCGGCUAACUACGUGCCAGCAGCCGCGGUAAAGU